rnacentral:pre_miRNA from 14 species
CUCUGGGUCCCCCUUGAGCUGCGGUGGCUCCAAAGUGCUGUUCGUGCAGGUAGUGUGUGCAGCCAUCUACUGCCGGGCAGCACUUCCCGAGCCCCCGCAGCCGUACUACCGGACCCAACC